rnacentral:sRNA from 18 species
CUUUACCCAGAUAUUGUCCCGUCCUAGAUAUUCGGCAUGAGAGAGAAUGGUUUAUACCGCAACGUAAAGCUAGACCUGGGGUUGUUCGUCGCCUAAUAAGAUGAAAACUCUCUUU